CCCUUCAGAGGGGGACAACAGUUGGAAACGACUGCUAAUACCGCAUACGAUCUAAUCUCGGCAUCGAGGAUAGAUGAAAGGUGGCCUCUACAUGUAAGCUAUCACUGAAGGAGGGGAUUGCGUCUGAUUAGCUAGUUGGAGGGGUAACGGCCAACCAAGGCGAUGAUCAGUAGCCGGUCUGAGAGGAUGAACGGCCACAUUGGGACUGAGACACGGCCCAG
rnacentral:rRNA from 1 species